rnacentral:rRNA from 1 species
UACGGAGGGGACUAGCGUUGUUCGGAAUUACUGGGCGUAAAGCGCACGUAGGCGGAUUUGUAAGUCAGGGGUGAAAUCCCGGGGCUCAACCUCGGAACUGCCUUUGAUACUGCAAAUCUCGAGUCCGGAAGAGGUGAGUGGAAUUCCUAGUGUAGAGGUGAAAUUCGUAGAUAUUCGGAAGAACACCAGUGGCGAAGGCGACUCACUGGACAUGUAUUGACGCUGAGGUGCGAAAGCGUGGGGAGCAAACAGG